AGACUCCCCCUCCCCACCCAGAGUCCGCCCGGCCCCGCACGACCAACUGUUGCCUGAGUGUGGGGCGCGGACAGCGGCGGAGGCGGGAACCCACGGCCUGUAGCCCCCUGAAAAUCUAUUUUCCCACACGCCCCCAACAGUGAGCCUGAGCUCCCCUCGUAGAUGUGAGCAAAAGGAAUCCUCUUUCCCUUAAAUCUGCUCUUUGUACCUCGGGGCGCUCUCCCCUUCUUGCACAAAGAACUUUUCCUCGCGUAUAACUGUACUGUAGAAGGUAUUUCUCACCAUUUGCAAAGCCCAGAACCCUUCUGAGGACUGCCCUUUUUCCAGGUCUCUAAAGGAAUAGAUUAAUGGUGCUGUUCCCACCUUCCUAAAUUCUGCACAAUGAUGGCCAAUGUGCAGAAACCCUUCUUUUGCUUUCACCACUGAAUUUUCAAACUCAGGGCGGGAGGGACAAGGUCAAGAUCCUCCACAAAACUCGGGACAACACAUGACAUCUGGGAUGCUCUGGUUUGAUGCGGAUAGUCUUCAUCCAUCCAUGGGUCUGCUCUUGGCUCCAAUUUGAAGAUCACUUCAGGUUUGGUAAUUUGGUAACCAAAUGAUUCCAGGCUGCUGGAGGUCGCUAGCAUCAUGUCCCUGUGGAAAGUAUUCCUUCCACUCUUCCUAGGUGAAUUCACAGCCACAUCCUCAAACACCAACCCCAUACAUGUGUUCAUUCUCUUUGCCCUUGGAAACACAGAGGAAUCUGGAAUUUUAGCUUCAGGAACACAGACUCUAAACCUAGAGCCUAGUAGCAGCAAAGCGAGUGCCAAAGGAUCUGUCAUUUCCACACUUACAUAAUAUUUUUCAGAACUCCUUUGCAGUUAACCCAUUGGAACAAGAUUCCAAAGACUAUGAUGACUUGCCAAAAAAAUGGAUACUUGUAUAUCAGUAUCACCUGGAGGUCUUGUUAAAACACAGAUGGCUGGCCCCACUCCCAGAGUAUCUGAAUUGGUAAGUUUGGAGUGGGACCAAGAAUUUGCCUUUCUAACAAGUUCUGAGGUUAUGUUGAUGCUGCUGGUCCAGGGACCACAGUUUAAGAACCAGUAACCUAGAAGAGGGACCAGCAGGUUUUUCUAUAAAGGGCCAGAGAGUGAAUAUUUGAGGCUGUUUACAGAGUAUAAUGACUUUGUCUCAGUGACAAGGCUCUGCUGUUGUAGCAUGAAGGGUGUCAUAGACCAUAGGUAAACACAUGAGCAUGCCUGUGUUCCAAUAAAACUGAAUCUUACCUAGCAUGUAUGAGUUUCUGGGUUUGAUCCCCAGCACUUAAAAAGCAAAAAAAAAAAAAAAAAAACGCAA